rnacentral:rRNA from 1 species
CCCCUAGAUGUUCUGGGCCGCACGCGCGCUACACUGAACAGUUCAACAAGUCUUAACCUUGGCCGAUAGGUCUGGGUAAUCUUUGAACGCUGUUCGUGAUUGGGAUAGACCUUUGCAAUUAUGGGUCUUCAACGAGGAAUUCCUAGUAAACGCAAGUCAUCAGCUUGCAUUGAUUACGUCCCUGCCCUUUGUACACACCGCCCGUCGCACCUACCGAUUGAAUGGUCCGGUGAAGCCUCGGGAUUGCGAAUGCUUCGUGCGGACGCGAGAACUUGGCUAAACCUUACCAUUUAGAGGAAGGUGAANUCGUANCA